CCUACGGGAGGCAGCAGUGAGGAAUAUUGGUCAAUGGACGAGAGUCUGAACCAGCCAAGUAGCGUGAAGGAUGACUGCCCUAUGGGUUGUAAACUUCUUUUAUAUGGGAAUCAAACGUUCCACGUGUGGGAUUUUGUCUGUACCAUAUGAAUAAGGAUCGGCUAACUCCGUGCCAGCAGCCGCGGUCAUACGGAGGAUCCGAGCGUUAUCCGGAUUUAUUGGGUUUAAAGGGAACGUAGGUGGAUUGUUAAGUCAGUUGUGAAAGUGUGCGGCUCAACCGUAAAAGUGCAGUUGAAACUGGCAGUCUUGAGUACAGUAGAGGUGGGCGGAAUUCGUGGUGUAGCGGUGAAAUGCUUAGAUAUCACGAAGAACUCCGAUUGCGAAGGCAGUUCACUGGACUGCAACUGACACUGAGGCUCGAAAGUGUGGGUAUCAAACAGGAUUAGAUACCCGUGUAGUC
rnacentral:rRNA from 1 species